AGGGAAGAUUGGAUGUUCGCUGCCUUCAAAAGGCAGAGGAAAGUCCGGACACCAUAGGGCAGGAUACUUCCUAACAGGAAGCUGCAGUAAUGCAGAGCAAGCUCCACAGAAAUAAACCGCCAUUUUUUUGUUCGGAAAUGGUAAGGGUGAAAUGGUGGUGUAAGAGACCACCGGUAUCUUUGGUAACAAAGAUAGACAGGAAUGCCUUAUCCGGUGCAAUGCCAAAUAGGAAAGCUAUGAUGUUGCCCGCAUCGCUUUCGGGUAGGCAGCUGGAGCUGUUUUGUGAAAAACAGCCAAGAUGGAUGAACAUCACUUUCGGGAAACUGAAAGCACAGAAUCCGGCUUAUAAAUCUUCCCCUUUU
rnacentral:RNase_P_RNA from 1 species